rnacentral:ncRNA from 1 species
AGCAAAGAUAAAAACGCAACGUGCAUCUGUUAUGGUGUGCCAGAGCCGGUAGGUAGCCCGGCCGUCUCAUCGCUGAUGAGGUAAGUAACCUGCCCUCCGGGUUGUCCGUUCUUUGUUCAUAG